rnacentral:rRNA from 1 species
CCUACGGGGGGCAGCAGUGAGGAAUAUUGGUCAAUGGGCGCGAGCCUGAACCAGCCAAGUCGCGUGCGGGAGGACGGCCCUACGGGUUGUAAACCUCUUUUGCCGGGGAGCAACGGGCGUCACGUGUGGCGCUACUGAGAGUACCCGGAGAAAAAGCAUCGGCAAACUCCGUGCCAGCAGCCGCGGUAAUACGGAGGAUGCGAGCGUUAUCCGGUUUGAUUGGGUUUAAAGGGUGCGUAGGCGGAUCGUAAAGUCAGGGGGAAAAUUGGGGGGCUCCACCCCUUCCCGCCAUUGAAACUGGCGCUCUUGAGUGGAAGUGAAGUAUGCGGAAUGCGUGGUGUAGCGGUGAAAUGCAUAGAUAUCACGCAGAACCCCGAUUGCGAAGGCAGCAUGCCGGCUUCCGACUGACGCUGAAGCACGAAAGCGUGGGGAUCGAACAGGAUUAGAUACCCCUGUAGUC